rnacentral:lncRNA from 1 species
UCUCUCUCUCUCUCUUUCUCUCUCAUGUGCAGCCUUCACCAACCCCUUCACCACUCCUGCCCAACCCCAGCUGCCUUCUACCAACCCGUUCCAGCCCAAUGGCCUGGCCUCAGGGCAUCCACCCUGUUCUCCCAUCAGUGCCCCAAGCCUAAGGUACCAGAGAACCACAGUGAAAUGCAGAUCCUUCAGCAAGGCCUUGCAGUGCCUUCCACCUACCCCCACACAGCCUCUGUAGGGUCCCCUCAAACUCCUCAAAUCCCCUUAACUGUAUGAAGAGCCAAGAAGAGCAGGAUGCCAGCUAGAGAAAGCUCAGAGGUGUGCAUGCCAGGUGCCUCACAUCCCUUAGUGGCCCUGUGAGAUGGGUGCCGUGCCCACUUUAGGGAUGAAAGCGGAGCUGAGAAGAAUGGCACAGGUCUGUCAUCCCAGCACUAGGGACGUAGAGGUAAGGAUCGGAGCUCAAGGUCAUCUUUAGCUACAUAGUGAGUUCAAGGACAGCUUGGGCUACAUGAGACCCUGUGCCAUAAAAGGAAGAGUGGGGGAGACAGUAAAUGAAUGAGACAAGACACAAUUCAGUGUGCCUGCAUUAUUUUUAAGGGGCUCAGUUC